GAUGAACGCUGGCGGCGUGCUUAACACAUGCAAGUCGAACGGAAAGGCCCAAGCUUGCUUGGGUACUCGAGUGGCAAACGGGUGAGUAACACGUGGGUGAUCUGCCCUGCACUUCGGGAUAAGCCUGGGAAACUGGGUCUAAUACCGGAUAGGACGAUGGUUUGGAUGCCAUUGUGGAAAGUUUUUUCGGUGUGGGAUGAGCUCGCGGCCUAUCAGCUUGUUGGUGGGGUAAUGGCCUACCAAGGCGUCGACGGGUAGCCGGCCUGAGAGGGUGUACGGCCACAUUGGGACUGAGAUACGGCCCAGACUCCUACGGGAGGCAGCAGUGGGGAAUAUUGCACAAUGGGCGCAAGCCUGAUGCAGCGACGCCGCGUGGGGGAUGACGGCCUUCGGGUUGUAAACUCCUUUCGCUAGGGACGAAGCGUUUUUGUGACGGUACCUGGAGAAGAAGCACCGGCUAACUACGUG
rnacentral:rRNA from 1 species